GAUGAACGCUCGCGGCAGGCCUAACACAUGCAAGUCGAGGGAGAAGCCUUUCGGGGCAGAAACCGGCGCACGGGUGCGUAACGCGUAUGCAACCUACCUUUCACAGGGGGAUAGCCCGAAGAAAUUUGGAUUAAUACCCCAUAAUAUUGUUGGAUGGCAUCAUCUGAUAAUUAAAACUGCGGUGGUGAAAGAUGGGCAUGCGUCCUAUUAGCUAGUUGGAGUGGUAACGGCACCCCAAGGCUACGAUAGGUAGGGGUCCUGAGAGGGAGAUCCCCCACACUGGUACUGAGACAGGGACCAGACUCCUACGGGAGGCAGCAGUGAGGAAUAUUGGUCAAUGGUCGGAAGACUGAACCAGCCAUGCCGCGUGCAGGAAGAAUGCCUUAUGGGUUGUAAACUGCUUUUAUAUGGGAAGAAUAAGGUGUACGUGUACAUUGAUGACGGUACCAUAUGAAUAAGCAUCGGCUAACUCCGUG
rnacentral:rRNA from 1 species